UGUGUGUGUGUGUGUUUCAGCACAUGUGUAUCCUAACUAUGAACUAUUUAUCAGUAUGGAUUAUUUCUUAUUCGUCUUUAUAUCUCUUGUGUCUAAGUCAAUGAAAUAUCUCACGUUUUAGUCAGUUUAAAGAAUAAUGGACUGCUCCCUAUUGCUCCUAUUUCUAUUCCUAAAUCUUGUUCAAUUUGAUAUUUAAAUUCCAUUUCCAACUUAUGUUUUCAGAAUAACCCUCUAAAGCCUUUGCUACUUCCAGACUGAAAUUACACUCAUUCACUUUUUUUUUUGGUUUUUUCCUUUU